rnacentral:rRNA from 1 species
UCUGGUGACAAUGGCAAGGAGGUCACACCUGUUCCCAUGCCGAACACAGAAGUUAAGCUCCUUAGCGCCGAUGGUAGUCGGACUG